UAUAUUGCUGCUGAAUCGCACCUUAGGUAGGAGACGCUGUCGGACUCUGACGUGCAGACGUGAACAUUCGGCUAAAMGUUGAAACGAUCACGGUUUGUCAAGAGGGAACUGGCCAGGUGUAUUGCAGAUCCCCCCCACUCCGCUCAAGGAGUGGCUGAAGGGUUUAAUAUACAUCACGGAUUGUCUGGCUUCAUGCUGACCAGACUGGCGAGCUAACCGUAUUAGCGGAUCCGGAGAUACAACACCUGUCAUCUGUGAAAACUUCCGAACUGGUUGGAGAUUCAGCCCAACAGUCUUCCCUGACGGAACUGGAUAUUUAUUUUUUGUUUUUCCUUUCAUCAUCAACAAAGACUGAUUGACUUUCUUGGAUUAAGRAACCCUUUUGAACUCUAAAUUGUGGACUAAUUUGUAUAUAUUGUAAAUAUCAAUACAACUCACUGAUUUUGCACMAUCUACUUGUCUUUGUGUUUUU